AAUACCUUGGGAAGAAGGCAUACCCUAAUUCCUGGCUCCAGUCCUGUGCUAAGCCGUCUAUUGCUGGUUGAGGGAGAAGAACCUCUCUAAUUUUCUGUUGGCUCUUGAGGAAAAAAUGUCCACUGUGGGAAGACCGUACCUCUGGACUAUUUGCAAAAAAAAUUAUUUGUUUAGACGCACUGCUGCCAGAAAA